UUAACAUAUCCCUUUACACUGGUGUUUUCCCCUCAACAUUUAGACAGGCUCGUAUAACCCCUCUACUGAAGAAACCCACCCUUACCCCAUCUCUUUUAAAGAACUACAGACCGGUUUCCCCUCUUCCUUUCAUUGCA